rnacentral:rRNA from 1 species
AUGCCCUCUGAAGCACAGCCUGAAGAGGAACUUAUCAUUUCUGCACCUAACCAACCUGAAGACAAUGCUCAGACCAAAGAUAAUCCUCCCAAUGAUGACAAUGAUCAACAAGAGCAAAGUCUUCGUCCUGUUCAUCCUCGUGUUGUAAAUGAAGUACAAAUUGAGAAGAUAAUUGACAGCAUCAAUGCACCUGGUCCACUGACUCGCUCAAGAGCAACACAGUUAGCAAACUUCUGUGGGCACUUUUCAUUUGUGUCAAUAUCAGAAACCAAAAAAGUUGCUGAAGCCUUUAUGGAACCUGAAUGGGUUCAAGCUAUGCAAGAAGAACUUCAACAGUUCAAGCUGAACAAUGUUUGGGAACUUGUCAAGCGACCUGACCCUCGCAAGCAUAACAUUAUUGAAACAAAAUGGAUAUAUCGAAACAAGCAAGAUGAGCAUGGUCAAGUCGUCAGAAACAAAGCACAUCUUGUGGCUCAAGGAUAUACUCAAGUAGAAGGAAUCGACUUCGAUGAAACAUUUGCUCAUGUGGCUAGGCUUGAAGCUAUUCGUAUACUGCUAGCCUACGCUAACCAUCAUAACAUCUUGCUAUAUCAAAUGGAUGUGAAGAGUGCAUCUCUCAAUGGCAAGAUUGAAGAAGAAGUAUAUGUCGCUCAACCACCUGGCUUUGAAGAUCCAAAACAUCCUGAUAUGGCGUACAAGCUAAACAAAGCACUGUAUGGCCUCAAACAAGCUCCUUGCGCAUGGUAUGAUACGAUCAAAGACUUCCUGAAGAGCAAAGGCUUCAAACCUAGAUCCCUCGAUCCCACACUCUUCACGAAGACAUAUGAUGGUGAACUGUUUGCGUGCCAAAUAUAUGUGGAUGACAUAAUCUUCGGCUGCACCAACCAGAAGUAUACUGAUGAGUUUGGAUACAUGAUGCAAGAGCAAUAUCAGAUGUCCAUGAUGGGUGAGCUGAAGUUCUUCCUUGGUCUUCAAAUUCGUCAGCAAAGGAAUGGCAUCUUCAUAUCUUAA